rnacentral:tRNA from 3 species
UAACCUUUAGCUCAGUUGGUCAGGACAGACGGCUAUAACUGUCCAGUCAUAGGUUCAAAUCCUAUAAGGUCCA